rnacentral:rRNA from 1 species
GAAACCCCUUCGACGAGUCGAGUUGUUUGGGAAUGCAGCUCAAAAUGGGUGGUAAAUUUCAUCUAAAGCUAAAUACCGGCCAGAGACCGAUAGCGCACAAGUAGAGUGAUCGAAAGAUGAAAAGCACUUUGGAAAGAGAGUCAAAAAGUACGUGAAAUUGUUGAAAGAGAAGCGCUUGCAACCAGACCUGUCCGCCGGCGAUCAACCCCCGUUCUUCGGGGGUGCACUCGUCGGCGACCAGGCCAGCAUCGGUUCGGGCGGUCGGAUAAAGGCCCUGGGAAUGUAGCUCCUCUUGGGGAGUCUUAUAGCCCUCGGUGCAAUGCGGCCAGCUGGGACCGAGGACCGCGCUUCGGCUAGGAUGCUGGCGUAAUGGUUGUAAGCGACCCGUCUUGAAACACGGACCAAGGAGUCUAACAUCUAUGCAAGUGUUUGGGUGUCAAGCCCAUACGCGUAAUGAAAGUGAACGGAGGUGAGAACCCUUAAGGGCGCAUCAUCGACCGAUCCAGAUGUCUUCGGAUGGAUUUGAGUACGAGCAUAGCUGUUGGGACCCGAAAGAUGGUGAACUAUGCCUGAAUAGGGUGAAGCCAGAGGAAACUCUGGUGGAGGCUCGCAGCGGU